AGUUGUAUGCCUCUUGAUGCUUCCUGUCUUCUGUAGGCUGUAUUGCAUGCAUACGUAUAUAAUACAUAUACAUAUACUUGUAUGCACGUGUGUGUAUAUCGUACGCGAAUCAAGUGGUGACGGUGAUUGGUGACAAGCGCUUCGUUCGGUCGUUCUAGGAAGAUUUUAACUCGACGUUCCUGCAAGGAACUGUCUCUCACUUGCCUGUUCAUACAUCUGUGCAUAUUACAAUUCGGAAAACAUGAAGGAAACAGCGACGAUGGAAGGAUACACAUAGUACCUAAAAGUUCUGGUCUAUGCGCGUCCAAUGAAUUUGUCACUUCUAAAUCAUAAAGCGUGUCGUAAUGCAAAUAAGAUAUACAGAAUACUAGAUUCUCACUAAGAAGAUUAAAUUUCUGAAGUAUCGGUAACGACGAGCACGACACGGGAAUGGUAAUGGAUUAUGUAUAUGGUAAAUACAGAAAAUGAAUGCGACGCGGUAAUGGUAAAACCGCAGACGAGGUAUAGGAGAUAACAGUACACCUAGCACUCGAUGUAAAUUUUUGUUUUACAAUUUCAUACUGUAUAUUAUACUGUAUAAAUUAAGUAUUGUAUAAUAUUGGAACUUUUACAAUAUUGUUUACCGUAAAUAUAACGAUGUAUCGUAUCAAUUUGAAAAUACAGAGUGAAAAUGCAAAGUGAAAAUAUAGAGUGAAAUAUCCGCAUAGUACUUACUUGUACUUGUACAGGUAAUCAACUUCGUUUUACGAUUUCAUAAGACGUUCUAUUAUUCGAAAUGGUGCCAUCAUUUUUCUAUCGUAAAUAUAUCCAGUACAUGUAUGUAUGUAUUUAUGAAUGUAUGUAUGUACGUAUAUCGUACGUAGUUAUCAAGUUAUCGUUUAUGAAACAUAUGUAUGUUUAAUACGUUUAUGGAACAAAAGUGCAUACAAUUUAUCCACUGAAAGAAUUUCGAUAAAAAUGUUCAAAUAGAAA